GAGCGAUAAACCUGUUGGAUUUUAUUAACCAAAGAGAUUCGGCUUUGCGCUAUAGUUAGCUCAGCACCAAUCAAGAAUCCCCAAGGAAUUCCAAGAAUUCUUGGUAUACAUUUGUUCCAACCCUCAACCCUCUUUUCUAGAUUCAUGGAUAUUGAAUCAAUCGAACGCACUUCUAAGACCUGUUCUACUUUUGGAAGACCCUGUGUUAUAUCACCAGAUCUCGAUUUUUCAUAUAUAAAUGUAACUAAUGUAUCUCCUUCGUAAAGGGUUUCCCCAUAAUGGCCAUGAACAGUUGCUCCGGGGGUGGCCAAAUAAGGCUUAGCUGAUCGUAUCACUAUCGAGUCAACUUGAACAAGUAUAACUUGACCCGAUUUGAGGGGCGGUCCAUUUUUGGCUAUACAUACAUUUUCACAAAUAAACUGUCCAAGACUAAUUAUUUUAGAUGUCUCUGCACAAUAAUAGUGAUGGAGAAAAGACCAAUUCAAAUUGAAUGGAUUUAAAAUAAUGUUACGGCAUGGAUCGGGAUUAAAAAUUUUUCCAUUUUCAUCCAUUAAAUAAUAUUUUAAUUUAAUCACUUGAAAAGUCUGUUUUAAAUUGUCAAGUUGCAAAUAUUUAGUUACUAAGAUCUGAUUAUGAGUUAUUAAAUGGUAAGAUGAAUAAAAAUUCUCAAUUGGAAGGCAUGUUCCUAAAGGGCCCAAUGAAUUCCUAAUUGGAAUUAGGGGAUCUUUUUUAAUUGAUUCUUUUAUCACACUGUGAUAUUUUACAUCUUUGAAUGGCUCCAUUCGAGAACAAUUGGCUGCUGACAAAAUUAUCAACGACUGACAUUCCUUAUUUCUAUUCAACAACGUAUGAAUAGUUCCUUGAGGUUGGUUAAGAGAUUGUUGAAUUUUUGCCUUGGAAUAGGAAUAAAUAGCAGAAAAGGGAUUGAUAUUGGUACAAUCCGAUCCAUUAUCAGAGAGCAAUCCUGACCCCGACGGAUCAUUCCUUUUUCCGAUAUACGAAAUAGGGGAUUUCACUAAGUUGAUUUUUAGGAAAUGUCGAAUCAAACCAUUUGUCCUUAUUUCAACAAAAGAAGCACGGGCUUCUUCGCAAGAAGAACUUUUUUUGUCUUGGUUCCAAUUCAAUACUAAACAAGUCCGAACUAAUUGAAUACUUGUGUCAGAAAUUCCUCGAAUCGGUUUGCCAUUUCCAUAAAGGAUAUAAUUGACAAUUCGAAGUUGCACAUUAUCCCUUUCCUGCAAUGGAUCCGGUGGAAAAAGGGUUCCUAAAUUUAUACCGUCCGUUAUUUCAUAUGUGACGACAGGUCGAACUAAAACAAAAAACCUUUUCUUACUAGGUGUAAUUCGUUGGACAUAGAUCCAAUUUUGAACUUUUUUGUAUUCCUUGGAAUUUCUUUUUCCUGUUCCUGGUGGUAUCAAAACGCCGGUAUGCCUGGAUAUCUUAUCCGUCUCUCCAGGAAAAUGGAUAUCUCCAGAAAAGAUUUUCAGUUCAAUUCGUUUUUUUUUUCUCUCCACCCGGACCAACCCACCGACUCGGCUUCUUAGAUUUAAGGUGAUUUGUGUAUCGACCCCAACGAUACUAUUGUUCCGUACCAUUAGGGAAGAAGAUCCGGGCAAGAUAUGCACCUCUUCAGGAAUGAAAAAAAAUCGAUCUACUUUCAUUUGGUAUUUUGGCCUAAAUUCCUUGACUCCUCGAUACUCAAUCAAAUCCUCUUUUUUGAUGACUGAAUGCGUUUCUAUAGUCCCAUAUUUAAUAAUGCCCGAACUCUUUCUUCUGUAUCGAGGAUCAUCGAAAUAAGCAAGAAUACUAUUUCGACGGAAAAUACCAUUUACGGGGAUUUCAAUCGAGAUACCUGAACAGGGCAUUAGUUCAUUCUCGAGUUCUUGAAUCGAGUGUAGUGGAAUGAUGAAUUUAUUUCUUCGCCUUUUUGACAAUAAAGCAGAAUUCCCGUGAAGAAUAGGCGAAUAUACGAGAUUAUACUGGCCAGUACAUAUGAUUCGAUUAAGGUCUGAAUAAUCAGGAAUCCUAUCUUCUUUUUGACCAUAAAAAUCCGAACUAAACAAUUUCUGCCUCGCCUGAUCAUUGGUUACUGAGAGGUUAGAAGUAUAUCUUCGCUUGCCAGAAAGAGAAUGCGCAUUCAUUUGAUCCUGAUCCUUGUGGAUCGAAAGGUAGACUAGACUGGACCUGCACGGCCCUCCUAAUAAUAUCCAUAAAUGACUUGUUUUUGGUAAUAGAUGAACAUUACCAUAUGUAAAUUCGGGUGCAUGAUAGACAUCGGUACUCCAGUGCAUUUCUCCGUCUGAAUCAGAAUAAAUAUGUUUUCGAACCUUCUCUUUAAAAUUCAAAGUGGAUAUUCCUGCGCGAAUCUCAGCAAUUACUUGUUCUGAUUCUACGUAUUGAUCGUUUUGAACUAAAAGCAAACUUUUGGGUGGAAUAUUCACAUUAUGUAGAAUAUCUUCACUCUCAAUAGUUACAUACAAGUCUAUAGAACAUAGAAAGG
rnacentral:lncRNA from 1 species